rnacentral:tRNA from 1 species
GGACCUGUGGCCCAAUUGGAUAAGGCGUUUGGCUUCGGACCAAAAGAUUCUAGAUUCGAGUUCUAGCAGGUCCA